rnacentral:rRNA from 1 species
AAGAAAUAACWAUACGGGGCUUAAUGUCUUGUAAUUGGAAUGAUGGGAAUUUAAACCUCUUCCAGAGUAUCAAUUGGAGGGCAAGUCUGGUGCCAGCAGCCGCGGUAAUUCCAGCUCCAAUAGCGUAUAUUAAAAUUGUUGCAGUUAAAAAGCUCGUAGUUGAAUUUCUGCUGCAUUUCAUUUCUCUUUCUGAGUUUGUUUUUGCGGCUUAUUUCGGUUUGAUUUUUUCUUUCCGGAUGAUUACUUUGAGAAAAUUAGAGUGCUCAAAGCAGGCUUUUGCCUUGAAUAGUUUAGCAUGGAAUAAUAAAGUAGGACUUUGGUUCUAUUUUGUUGGUUUUAGGUACCAAAGUAAUGGUUAAUAGGAACAGUUGGGGGCAUUCGUAUUUAACUGUCAGAG